GGUGUCCAUGUUGUGGUGAUACUAUCUCUGUCUUAUUCCAUCAACAUGUCACAAUGAACCUCCAUGACGAAAAAUCAAUUCGAUGAUCAUCAUAAGAUAAAUGAUUAUAAACCUUCUGUAGCUAGGAGGAGGAUUAAACUGAGAUAACACAAUGCUCUCAACACAUUUAGUUUCCUUUGAAGGUGCUGCCAACAAGCUAGAGACUGAACCAGAAACAUCCUCCACAAAACCCAAGUUUUCAAGUUCAAGUACAUCGGCAAAGAGAAUGCAAUGCUCUCAACACAUUUAGUUUCCUUUGAAGGUGCUGCCAACAAGCUAGAGACUGAACCAGAAACAUUCUCUACAAAACCCAAGUUUCCAAGUUCAGGUACAUCGGCUUUCACAGGCUCUAAAACAUA
rnacentral:lncRNA from 1 species